GCUAUAUUCAGUGGCAGAGCUUCUGCCUUCCAUGUAGAAGGUUGCAGGUUCGAUCCCUGACAACU